rnacentral:rRNA from 1 species
CCGGCGUGAGUGAUGAAGGCUUUACGGGUCGUAAAACUCUGUUGUUAGGGAAGACAAGUGCUAGUGAAUAGCUGGCACCUUGACGGUACCUAACCAGAAAGCCACGGCUAACUACGUGCCAGCAGCCGCGGUAAUACGUAGGUGGCAAGCGUUAUCCGGAAUUAUUGGGCGUAAAGCGCGCGCAGGUGGUUUCUUAAGUCUGAUGUGAAAGCCCACGGCUCAACCGUGGAGGGUCAUUGGAAACUGGGAGACUUGAGUGCAGAAGAGGAAAGUGGAAUUCCAUGUGUAGCGGUGAAAUGCGUAGAGAUAUGGAGGAACACCAGUGGCGAAGGCGACUUUCUGGUCUGUAACUGACACUGAGGCGCGAAAGCGUGGGGAGCAAACAGGAUUAGAUACCCUGGUAGUCCACGCCGUAAACGAUGAGUGCUAAGUGUUAGAGGGUUUCCGCCCUUUAGUGCUGAAGUUAACGCAUUAAGCACUCCGCCUGGGGAGUACGGCCGCAAGGCUG